UACGGAGGAUCCAAGCGUUAUCCGGAUUUAUUGGGUUUAAAGGGUGCGCAGGCGGAAGAUUAAGUCGGUGGUGAAAUUUUGCAGCUCAACUGUAAAAGUGCCAUCGAUACUGGUUUUCUUGAGUGUGGAUGAAGUAGGCGGAAUUUGUGGUGUAGCGGUGAAAUGCUUAGAUAUCACGAGGAACUCCGAUUGCGCAGGCAGCUUACUAAACCACUACUGACGCUCAUGCACGAAGGCGUGGGGAUCAAACAGGAUUAGAUA
rnacentral:rRNA from 1 species